AACAGUUUUAAAUACGAAAACAAGUAAUUUUUAAGCAAAAAAAAACCGACUUCAAUUCUCAUAUAAAAAUUUAGGAGUAUCUUUAAUUUCUCCAUGAUCCAAAUGAUCGGAUCGAAACCAAAUUAGU